CCUACGGGAGGCUGCAGUGAGGAAUAUUGGUCAAUGGACGAGAGUCUGAACCAGCCAAGUAGCGUGAAGGAUGACUGCUCUAUGGGUUGUAAACUUCUUUUAUAUGGGAAUAAAUUGUUCCACGUGUGGGAUUUUGUAUGUACCAUAUGAAUAAGGCGCGGCUAAUUCCGUGCCAGAAGCCGCCGUAAUACGGAGGGGCUGAGCGUUAUACGGAUUUAUUGGGUUUAAAGGGAGCGUAGGUGGCAUGUUAAGUCAGUUGUGAAAGUUUGGGGCUCAACCGUAAAAUUGCAGUUGAAACUGGGAGUCGUGAGUACAGGAGAGGUGGGCGGAAUUCGUGGUGUAGCGGUGAAAUGCUUAGAUAUCACGAAGAACUCCGAUUGCGAAGGCAGUUCACUGGACUGCAACUGACGCUGAGGCUCGAAAGUGUGGGUAUCAAACAGGAUUAGAUACCCGGGUAGUC
rnacentral:rRNA from 1 species